GCCCAGGUGGCGGAAUGGUAGACGCGCUGCGUUCAGAGCGCAGUGGGGGCAACCCCGUGGAGGUUCAAAUCCUCUCCUGGGCACCA
rnacentral:tRNA from 1 species